GAAAAACAAAACAAAAAAACCCAGAAAACCCACAACACUGCUUGAAGAAUUGUGUAGACAAAACUACAAAUCCCUUUCCUUUAGUUUCACAUUCAACAUUCUCAGAAUAAUGUCACACCCAUGGAAGCAGCUUUCACCUCAUACGCAGCCUCUGGGUGACCACUAGAAGGAGCACCUCUGACGUGGGCAGUCCCAUUGUCCCGUGUCCACAGGCCCAGCCCCCACGCCCACUGGCCUCAGCAACUGCAAAAGGGGACAACUGCCCCUCCCACCACAGAGCUCAGCCUUCCCCCUUUA